rnacentral:rRNA from 1 species
UACGGAGGGGGCGAGCGUUGUCCGAAGCUACUGGGCGUAAAGCGCGCGUAGGCGGGUUGGUAAGUCCGCUGUGAAAGCCCGGAGCUUAACUCCGGAGGGUCGGUGGAUACUGCCAGUCUUGAAGGUGCUAGGGGGAGAUGGAAUUACCGGUGUAGCGGUGAAAUGCGUAGAUAUCGGUAGGAACACCAGUGGCGAAGGCGGUUGCCUGGAGCUUUGCUGACGCUGAGGCGCGAAAGCGUGGGGAGCGAUCCGG